ACGCUGGCGGCAGGCUUAACACAUGCAAGUCGAACGCAUCCUUCGGGAUGAGUGGCAGACGGGUGAGUAACACGUGGGAACGUGCCCGCCGGUCUGGGAUAACCCUGGGAAACUAGGGCUAAUACCGGAUACGUGCUUUGGCAGAAAGGUUUACUGCCGGAGGAUCGGCCCGCGUCUGAUUAGCUAGUUGGUGGGGUAACGGCCUACCAAGGCGACGAUCAGUAUCUGGUCUGAGAGGAUGAUCAUCCACACUGGGACUGAGACACGGCCCAUACUCCUACGGGACGCAGCAUUGUGGAAUAUUGGACCAUGGGCGCAACCGCGAUCCACCCAUGCCGCGUGAGGUGAUGACGGCCUUAGGGUUGUAAAGCUCUUUUCUCCGGGACGAUAAUGACGAUACCGGAGGAAUAAGCCCCGGCUAACUUCGUGCCAGCAGCCGCGGUAAUACGAAGGGGGCUAGCGUUGCUCGGAAUCACUGGGCGUAAAGGGCGCGUAGGCGGCGUUUUAAGUCGGGGGUGAAAGCCUGUGGCUCAACCACAGAAUGGCCUUCGAUACUGGGACGCUUGAGUAUGGUAGAGGUUGGUGGAACUGCGAGUGUAGAGGUGAAAUUCGUAGAUAUUCGCAAGAACACCGGUGGCGAAGGCGGCCAACUGGACCAUUACUGACGCUGAGGCGCGAAAGCGUGGGGAGCAAACAGGAUUAUAUACCCUGG
rnacentral:rRNA from 1 species